UGCUGUAUCGUCAAGAAUUAUUGAAGAGUUGGGAAGCAUAGUGUUGAUAGUAUUAUUUAAAGUGUCUGCCCUCACCAUACACUACCAUGUCUGAUUGCAUACUUUUUGUGGAUCGUUUGCAGUGCAACGACUCAAACUUUCAUUCAGGACUAUCUAGUGGUCUUUCGUAGACGAUAUCUAAAAACGGUUUACCUCAUGCAAAAUGGUCUGCUUACAAAUCCGGGACACUGACCGUGACAUGGGGCCAUUUUCCGACAGAAACAGAACAACAUCGAGUAACAAAAAUGUGGAGGAUCCAUCAUUGACAAGAACACUAUUUUGACUGUAAACACUUUUUAUUCCGCUUUUCACCUUAUACCGCCUAUUGUGUGCCGAAAGCCAUUAAGCCGAGGUCUCCGUUUAUCUUGGCCGAACACAUUUAUCGCAGGACGCAGAUAACAUUCAGAAUUCUGAUAUACGGGAAAUCAUACUCGUUCCAAAGAUGUUCUCUGGGAUCAACAACGACAUAGCACUGAUCAAGCUGCCUCCAAUUCCGUUUGUUUGUGGAUCAGGGACGAUUAUCAGAUCACAUGAUGAGGCUGUGCUGUAAGCUAAGGUCGCUACAAUAUAUUUCUUUUACAAAAAAAAAAACUCUGCUGUAUGCUCUAUCGAAAAGAAAAAUUACGGACAACUCGUGAAUGAUUAAAACAUUCCAGCAAUGGGGGCCUACACGAUUCUAGUUAGUUUUUUGUAUGGAGUUUGACAGUUGGAGGCUGAAAUCAUGUAAACAAUCCAUACAAAACCACACAAAAAACUAGCCUGCGAUUUUCAGUCUAGAAAAUUUUAGCCUAAAAGCUAGAAUUAGAUUCGAGUACCUGCUCGAAAACACGGUGUUGUUUACAUUUAUCCCAAGGUUCAUUAAAGAGAUCACGUGGUGAAAUCUAGAAUCAAAGUGUAUGUAGUCCAGGGGGUCUCAAAGCAUGUUUUUCAAAACAAAUUUUAAUAUCACUUUUUGACAGGAUGGGCGAAAAUUUUUGUUCAAACAAGCUUUCUGGAGGCUUGACGAAUACUUAAAACACUCUUAAAAUCUUCAUUCAGAAACAGAAGCGAUAAAAAUCUGUCUUCUAAAUUCAUACACCUUGGGAUAAGCCCACCUGUACAUUAUACGCACUUAGAUAGCUGCUCGAAAACUGCUAUACAAUGCAAACAGCUGACAGGCUGAAAUUUCAACCUACCAACUUAAAACGGAAAGGGCCCCAGUGUUUGGUUUUAUGUAAUCGAGCAUUAAAUUGCGAACACAUUAGUGAAAGGGUUCCCAAAAAAUGAAAAUUCUUUUUUGUUCUCAUAAUAAUCCCUUUCCAAUGCAUUAAUUGUUAACAUAUAAAAAAAUUAGAACAUUAGACAUUUUUCAUUGUUAAUAAACACUUGCUACUUUACCAUCAA